CCAGCCGGCUGGACGGCCGCUCCCGUCACAUGUCGAAAGACGGCGGGGGAGGAAAGUCCGGGCUCCACGGAGAAACGGUGCCGGAUAACGUCCGGCGGGAGUGAUCCCAGGGAAAGUGCCACAGAAAACAGACCGCCCCGCCUGCAGUGCGGCUCGCGCGACGAAGCGCGACGGAGCCGCAGUGCUGGCGGGGUAAGGGUGAAACGGUGGGGUAAGAGCCCACCGCGUCUCUGGCAACAGCGACGGCACGGCAAACCCCACCGGGAGCAAGACCGAAUAGGAACGACGCGGUCGGUCCGUCGCAAGACGGGUCGCCAGCCCUCUCCGGGCCGGUCGUUCGGGUAGGUUGCUAGAGGCGGCCCGCAAGGGUCGUCCCAGAGGAAUGGUCGUCCGGCGGUCAAUCCGCUGACAGAACCCGGCUUACAGGCCGGCUGGCACU
rfam:Aurantimonas manganoxydans SI85-9A1 scf_1099451004081 genomic scaffold, whole genome shotgun sequence.